rnacentral:rRNA from 1 species
UACAGAGGGUGCAAGCGUUAAUCGGAAUUACUGGGCGUAAAGCGCACGUAGGUGGCUGGGUAAGUUGGAUGUGAAAUCCCCGGGCUUAACUUGGGAAUUGCAUUCAAGACUGCCUUGCUAGAGUGUGGAAGAGGGAAGCGGAAUUCCAGGUGUAGCGGUGAAAUGCGUAGAUAUCUGGAGGAACAUCAGUGGCGAAGGCGGCUUGCCAGAACGCGCUCGACGGUGAGGGAUGAAAGCUGGGGGAGCAAACCGG